UUUCGCAAUGCCCGAAAGGGUGACGAAGCGACGCCGCGUGUGGGAAGAAGGCCUUCGGGUUGUAAACCACUGUUGGGAGUUAGGAAGUGUGGGGGUGUUAAUAGCGCCUUCACUUGACUAAAGCUCCAGAGGAAGCCACGGCUAACUUCGUGCCAGCAGCCGCGGUAAGACGAAGGUGGCAAGCGUUGCUCGGAAUCACUGGGCAUAAAGCGCGCGUAGGUGGCUUUGCAAGUCGGUGGUGAAAUCCCAUGGCUCAACCGUGGAACGGCCGCCGAUACUGCAGAGCUUGAGGACGGUAGGGGAGAGUGGAACUCCUGGUGUAGCGGUGAAAUGCGUAGAUAUCAGGAGGAACGCCGGUGGCGAAAGCGACUCUCUGGGCCGCUCCUGACACUGAUGUGCGAGAGCUAGGGGAGCAAACAGGAUUAGAUACCCUGGUAGUCCUAGCUGUAAACGAUGGGCACUAAGUAGAGGGGUUUUA
rnacentral:rRNA from 1 species